rnacentral:rRNA from 1 species
AUUGAACGCUGGCGGCAUGCUUUACACAUGCAAGUCGAACGGCAGCACGGGUGCUUGCACCUGGUGGCGAGUGGCGAACGGGUGAGUAAUAUAUCGGAACGUACCCGGAAAUGGGGGAUAACGUAGCGAAAGUUACGCUAAUACCGCAUAUGCCCUGAGGGGGAAAGCGGGGGAUUCGUAAGAACCUCGCGUUUUCGGAGCGGCCGAUAUCGGAUUAGCUAGUAGGUGAGGUAAAGGCUCACCUAGGCGACGAUCCGUAGCUGGUCUGAGAGGACGACCAGCCACACUGGAACUGAGACACGGUCCAGACUCCUACGGGAGGCAGCAGUGGGGAAUUUUGGACAAUGGGCGCAAGCCUGAUCCAGCCAUGCCGCGUGAGUGAAGAAGGCCUUCGGGUUGUAAAGCUCUUUCAGCCGGAAAGAAAACGCACAAGUUAAUACCCUGUGUGGAUGACGGUACC